UGGGGAAUAUUGCACAAUGGAGGGAACUCUGAUGCAGCGACGCCGCGUGAGUGAUGAAGGAAUUCGUUUCGUAACACUCUGUUCUAUGGGAAGAAAAGGACUGUACCAUAGGAGAAAGCUCCGGCUAAAUACGUGCCAGCAGCCGCGGUAAUACGUAUGGAGCGAGCGUUGUCCGGAAUUAUUGGGCGUAAAGGGUGCGCAGGCGGCUUUACAAGUUGGAUGUGAAAUAUUGUGGGUCAACCACAAACGUGCAUCCAAAACUGCAGAGGUUGAGUUAAGGAGAGGUAAGUGGAAAUCCUGGUGGAGCGGUGGAAUGCGUAGAGAUCAGGAGGAAUACCGGUGGCGAAGGCGACUUACUGGACUUAAACUGACGCUCAGGCACGAAAGCGUGGGGAGCAAACAGG
rnacentral:rRNA from 1 species